GUGACAGGAGCACUGUAUGUGUUGGCGCUGCAAAGCACAGCGUUGCUCAUGUACAGCACUACUUCUGGUGACAUAAUCCUUUGCGUGGCGCCUUAUUCUGAGAGUAGCUGAAUGAGAACGAGGCACCUCACAAAGGAUGAUGUGGCUGCACAAUGGAAGAUGUCAGCAUGGUGAGCGGUGAUCUGGGGGAGGGGAUUCCACACUGUGUAUACUGCUGCCCGGUAUAGUGGUGGUGGUGAUGGGCCUGUGCAAGGUGUGACAGGCCCAUCCCAGCCAGCGCUGUAGCCUCCCCUAUCCCAGACAGCGGUAUAAAGAUUUGUUCAUAGUCCGACCCUCCAACGGUCUGAGGGACAGUGAACUGGCCCCCUGUGUAAAAAGUUUGGGGACCUCAGAUCUAGAUCGUUGGCUGGAACCCUCAAGGGCCUGGGGAAAGGGUGCUCCAGAGAGCAAAGUAACUAGAACUCCUAAGCUGUCUCCUCAAGAUGGGUGGAGCUUUAUUCUGCUGAGCUCCAGAAAGCAAAACCCUAAGCUGUGGCAUCAGCUGCCUUGGGAGCACUUCUCUUGGAACCAUAGACCAUAUAACCCAGUGGAAUUGCUGGUCAGCUCAGGGAUGGAGGAGACAAGAGAAGAGGGAAAGACCAUGAAUCAUGGGACCAUGGAAAGAUAUUCUAACUAAAUAAAUUUUAAAAAAGAAUCUUAUACCAUGACUCCCGCUUCUAGUAGCCAAGAUAGUGCUGAGUAAGGAAUGCUCUCAGCUCCCCCUCCAGCUCCAAACAACACACACACACACACACACACACACACGCUCAGAACAAGUUGUGGAGCAACAGAACCAACAAAAGUCAGAGUAAAGCAGGGUUUCAGAUAAAGAAAACACAGAGGAACAGCAGGAAGGACUCCUCUUAGUGCAUAGAUAAUGGGAGAGAGCAGUGGAAUCAGCACGGUGAGGAGCAACCCAGCACAUGCUGUCAACACAGCCUGAGACUGAUAGAAGGACUAGUAAAAUGAUCAAAAGCUGACCCAAGAACUCCAGUUUGGGCAGUUCGGGGCCUUGGAGUGUCAAAGCAAAUAUCUGUGAGACCCAGAACAAUCUCUCUGGUGGUAAUACUAGAUUACCCAACUCGGACCAACAAUAGAUAUUACUAAGUAUGACUGCCUGUCGGCUCUUGGCUCAAAGUGAGCUCUGAGUUGAAUAAACUAUAUGGUAAUAAGACUGUGGUCA
rnacentral:lncRNA from 1 species